rnacentral:rRNA from 1 species
CCUACGGGUGGCAGCAGUGGGGAAUAUUGCACAAUGGGGGAAACCCUGAUGCAGCAACGCCGCGUGAGUGAGGAAGGAUUUCGGGAUGUAAAGCUCUAUCAGCAGGGAAUAGAAAAGAAGGUACCUGAAAAAGAAGCCCCGGCUAACUACGUGCCAGCAGCCGCGGUAAUACGGAGGGGGCAAGCGUUAUCCGGAUUUACUUGGUGUAAAGGGAGCGGAGACGGGACGGCAAGUCAGCAGUGAAAGCCCAAGGCUCAACCAUGGGACUGCUUUUGAAACUGUCAAACUAGAGUACGGGAGAGGUAAGAGGAAUUCCUAGUGUAGCGGUGACAUGCGUAGAUAUUAGGAGGAACCCCAGUGGCGAAGGCGUCUUACUGGACCGAAACUGACGUUGAGGCUCGAAAGCGUGGGGAGCAAACAGGAUUAGAUACCCGGGUAGUC